rnacentral:rRNA from 1 species
GGCGGAGGGUGAGUACGCGUAGGAAUCUACCUCUGGGUGGGGAAUAAUCCCGCGAAAGUGGGACUAAUACCGCAUAAGAUUUUCGAAUGAAAGGCCAUAACUGGUCGCCGAGAGAGGAGCCUGCGUCCUAUCAGCUUGUUGGUGAGGUAAAAGCUCACCAAGGCGAUGACGGGUAGGGGGCGUGAGAGCGUGUCCCCCCACAAGGUCACUGAUACACGGGGCCUACACCUACGGGUGGCAGCAACUAGGAAUAUUGCGCAAUGGGCGAAAGCCUGACGCAGCGACGCCGCGUGCGGGAUGAAGACCUUCGGGUUGUAAACCGCUGUGGAGAGGGAAGAUAAUGACGGUACCUUUCUAGAAAGCACCUGCUAACUACGUGCCAGAAGCCUCGGUGAAACGUAGGGUGCAAGCAUUAUCCGGAUUUAUUGGGCGUAAAGAGUAUCGUAGGCGGUUUUGUAAGUGAUCGGUGAAAGCCUUUGGCUCAACCAGAGAACUGCCGGUCAUACUGCGAGACUAGAGUGACUUCGGGAAGGCUGGAAUUCUCGGUGUAGGGGUGAAAUCCGUUGAUAUCGAGAAGAACACCAAGGGCGAAGGCAGGCCUUUAGGAGUCUACUGACGCUAAUGAACGAAAGCUUGGGGAGCAAAAGGGAUUAGAGACCCCUGUAGUCCAAGCCGUAAACGAUGCCCACUAGAUGGUCUCGAUUUAAUCGGGACUGUCGUAAGCUAACGCGUUAAGUGGGCCGCCUGGGGAGUACGGCCGCAAGGCUAAAACUCAAAGGAAUUGACGGGGAAAUGCACAACCAGGGGAGCAUGAGGUUUAAUUCGAUACAAAGCGAAGAACCUUACCUGGGCUUGAAAUCCUGGUGACAGUUUAUAGAAAUAUAGAUCUUUCGCAAGAACA